rnacentral:rRNA from 1 species
GACGGACGCUGGCGGCGUGCCUAAUACAUGCAAGUAGAACGCUGAAGGAGGAGCUUGCUCUUCUGGAUGAGUUGCGAACGGGUGAGUAACGCGUAGGUAACCUGCCUGGUAGCGGGGGAUAACUAUUGGAAACGAUAGCUAAUACCGCAUAAGAGUAGAUGUUGCAUGACAUUUGCUUAAAAGGUGCAAUUGCAUCACUACCAGAUGGACCUGCGUUGUAUUAGCUAGUUGGUGAGGUAACGGCUCACCAAGGCGACGAUACAUAGCCGGCCUGAGAGGGUGAUCGGCCACACUGGGACUGAGACACGGCCCAGACUCCUACGGGAGGCAGCAGUAGGGAAUCUUCGGCAAUGGGGGCAACCCUGACCGAGCAACGCCGCGUGAGUGAAGAAGGUUUUCGGAUCGUAAAGCUCUGUUGUAAGAGAAGAACGAGUGUGAGAGUGGAAAGUUCACACUGUGACGGUAACUUACCAGAAAGGGACGGCUAACUACGUGCCAGCAGCCGCGGUAAUACGUAGGUCCCGAGCGUUAUCCGGAUUUAUUGGGCGUAAAGCGAGCGCAGGCGGUUAGAUAAGUCUGAAGUUAAAGGCUGUGGCUUAACCAUAGUACGCUUUGGAAACUGUUUAACUUGAGUGCAGAAGGGGAGAGUGGAAUUCCAUGUGUAGCGGUGAAAUGCGUAGAUAUAUGGAGGAACACCGGUGGCGAAAGCGGCUCUCUGGUCUGUAACUGACGCUGAGGCUCGAAAGCGUGGGGAGCAAACAGG